UAACAAUGAUUUCCCUAGUAACGGCGAGUGAAGAGGAAAGAGCUCAAAGUUGGAACCUGUUUGGCUUAGCUAAACCGGAUUGUAAACUGUAGAAGUGUUUUCCAGACACGCCUGGUAAAAAAGUCCUUUGGAACAGGGCAUCAUAGAGGGUGAGAAUCCCGUCUUUGGCCAGAGCUGUUGUCUUUUGUGAUACAUUUUCAAAGAGUCAGGUUGUUUGGGAAUGCAGCCUAAAUUGGGUGGUAAAUCUCACCUAAAGCUAAAUAUUUGCGAGAGACCGAUAGCGAACAAGUACCGUGAGGGAAAGAUGAAAAGAACUUUGAAAAGAGAGUUAAACAGUAUGUGAAAUUGUUAAAAGGGAACCGGUUGGAGCCAGACUGGCUUGACUGUAAUCAAUCUAGGCUUCGGCCUGGAUGCACUUGCGGUUUAUGCCUGCCAACGACAAUUUUUUUUGAGGGAAAAAACUAUUAGGAAUGUGGCCCCCUUUCGGGGGGGUGUUAUAGCCUUUUAGAAAAUACCUUGAAUUGGAUUGAGGAACGCAGUGAAUGCCUUUAGGCAAGAUUGCUGGGCGCUUUCGCUAAUAAAUGCUAGAAUUUCUGCUUCGGGUGGUGCUAGUGUUUAAAGGAGAAACUCGUCUGGUAUAUUUUUUAUUCGCUUAGGUUGUUGGCUUAAUGACUCUAAAUGA
rnacentral:rRNA from 1 species